AGAGUUUGAUCAUGGCUCAGGACGAACGCUGGCGGCGUGCUUAACACAUGCAAGUCGAACGAGGACCAAGGAGCUUGCUCCUUGUAGCCGAGUGGCGGACGGGUGAGUAACACGUGACCAACCUGUCCUAGGGUGGGGGAUAACCUGGGGAAACUCGGGCUAAUACCGCAUGAUGUCUGGUCAUCGCAUGGUGACCUGAUCAAAGAGAGCCUCUGCUUGCAAGCUCUCGCCCAAGGAGGGGGUCGCGGCGUAUCAGCUUGUUGGUAGGGUAACGGCCUACCAAGGCUAUGACGCGUAGCGGGUCUGAGAGGACGACCCGUCACAUUGGGACUGAGAUACGGCCCAGACUCCUACGGGAGGCAGCAGUGGGGAAUAUUGCGCAAUGGACGAAAGUCUGACGCAGCGACGCCGCGUGUGGGAGGAAGCCUUUCGGGGUGUAAACCACUGUCAGAGGGGAAGAACGCCGGUCAGUCGAACAGGCUGGUCGGGUGACGGUACCCUCAAAGGAAGCGCCGGCUAACUCCGUGCCAGCAGCCGCGGUAAGACGGAGGGCGCAAGCGUUGUUCGGAAUUACUGGGCGUAAAGCGCGGGCAGGCGGUCUGUUAAGUCGUUUGUGAAAAUCCGGGGCUCAACCCCGCGAAAUGCAGACGAUACUGGCAGACUAGAGAAUGGUAGA
rnacentral:rRNA from 1 species